GACGAACGCUGGCGGCAGGCCUAACACAUGCAAGUCGAACGAGAAAUCACCUUCGGGUGAGAGUAGAGUGGCGCACGGGUGAGUAACGCGUGGGAACGUACCUUUAGGUGUGGAAUAGCUCCGGGAAACUGGAAUUAAUACCGCAUAAUGUCUCCGGACCAAAGAUUUAUCGCCUAAAGAUCGGCCCGCGUUAGAUUAGUUUGUUGGUGGGGUAAUGGCCUACCAAGACUACGAUCUAUAGCUGGUUUGAGAGGAUGAUCAGCCACACUGGAACUGAGACACGGUCCAGACUCCUACGGGAGGCAGCAGUGGGGAAUAUUGGACAAUGGGGGAAACCCUGAUCCAGCCAUGCCGCGUGAGUGAUGAAGGCCCUAGGGUUGUAAAACUCUUUCAACGGUGAAGAUGAUGACGGUAACCGUAGAAGAAGCCCCGGCUAACUUCG
rnacentral:rRNA from 1 species